rnacentral:lncRNA from 1 species
UUCGUCAGUGUGCUAGGCAUGUUGUGUGAGGAGAGCCAGCGACUCCAUGACAGACACCUUGACAGUGUACCGCAUAGGUACUCAUUACCAUACUUUUCAGAUGGAACGAUCUCGGCUUUAAAGCCUUUUCGGUCCAUCCAAACAUCAGGCACUGGAUGGAGAGGCACACGCAGGCCAGUCAGACAUGCCUUUGCUCGAUGCAUGCCCGGUUGGCAGUAUCACAAUGUGCUGGGUCAGUGUAAAUGUAACACACUGCUCACCAUUUCAGUGAGAUACUAAUUCCUUUUUUUUUUUUUUUUUUGCCAAAGGGAGAACACAGUUUUGUUUAUUUACACGUGUGUGUAGUGUAGGUGCUGCCACAUGUGCUGCCGCCGUGCACGUGUGUCAGCCACCGGGCCACCUCCUGCGGUCAGUUCUCUCCGCUUUGCGUCCUCCUGGGGCAUGGUCUCUCUUGCUCUUCUUGCUGCUGUGCUGCGUUCUGCAGGCCGCUUCACCUGUGAGCUUGUAGGCGUUCUCCUGUCUCCAUCUCUAGCUCCGUCACAGGAGGGCCGAGAGUUGGGCUGUCCAUGGAAUCUGAGUGCGGGUUGUUAGGUUUGCGCGGCAAGCAUUUCUACCCACCGAGCGCCCUCCAGCCUCAUCCUCCUCUCCUAAAUUGUAUAAAGGUCAACACAAAAGAAAACAAAACGAACCAUGUGGCAUACGACGUCCAAGAACUAUUCUCGGCUUCCUGCCUCUCCCAUCAGUGUGGUGUCAGACAUGUAGGUUUUAGGCUUGAGCGGGGUUUGGGUUUUUUGUUUCCAUCUGUAUCAGAAGUGAAGUAGUUCACUAAGGGAAGAUGCAGAAGGGACGGGGGUAUGCUACACCGCUCCUUUGGCUUGGCUUCAAGAGGGCGAGAAGGGACCCAGAGGCUGAGGGUGAGGUUGCCCGUGACCUUUGUGAGAGAGUGCUCUCUUGGCUGAGCGGAGCUCAGGGUGAUGGAGGGCUGCCUGCCCGGCCCCUUCCACAUGCUGCUCUCUGGGAUUCCAUCCCUCACUCCCUCCGCUCCCAAUGAGAGCUGUGCUCAGACUGUUCCCUGGGUGCCAGAGGGUGAUGGAUCGGGCCUCUUCUGUGCUGACAGUGGGCGCAGUCUCCACCUAAGAGGGGCCGCUAGGCCGUCUUCCCCCGCACCCUCUCCCAUCUAACGAACUUGUCCCGACCCUACACGGUUGUUGUUUCGAGAUGUCGUAUCCAGGCUCUUAGCUUUCUCACUCUGUGUAUGUCUCAGAGCUCCUGUGCCUUCUGUCUUCUCGCUACCGUGGGGGUGGUCUACAGGAACUCCCUGAGCUGGGCGCCUGUGAUUCACCUAGGGUGGGGCAUUUCUAGCCAGCCGACCUUGCUGACCCUGCAUCUACAGAGAGAGUGUACUCCUCAAGUCUCCCUGGUGGGUCACUGAGCUUAUCUGUAGCUCAUUUAACCUGCUGACCUGUUUCCUUUCCGUUUUGCUGUGAUAAACACCGGGGCAGUAGCAGUUUUGGGGGAGGGAAGGCUUUAUUCAGCUCAGGCUUCCACCUGAUGGUCGGAGUGUGAACUUGGAGUAGCCAGUCACAUCAUGUCCGCAGUCCCCGUCAGAGAGAACUCGCGCAUGCGCGCUGUUGCUCAGCUCAUUUCUUUUAUACAACUGAGGGCUCAGACCCAGGGACUCGGGCCAUCCAUUUUAGACUGGGGCUCCUCCCGUCCAUCAUCAAUGAGAGCAUAAUCAUAAGAACCCUCAGGCCACCCUGAUCUGGACAGUCUCUCCUUGGGACUCUUCCCAGAUGAUUCUCAAUUGUGUGACGUUGACAGUUCAUUAGAUCUGCAUUUAACAUUGAGUUUUCAACUUUACUCCU